GAAACAGUGGCUAAGACUGGAUAGGAAGAUAAAAGGCAUCUUUUAUCUUUUAAAAGACCUAGUAAUAGGUAUGCUUUAGGAGGGGCUUGCGCCAUAUUAGUUAGUUGGUAGGGUAAUGGCCUACCAAGACGAUGAUGUGUAGCUGGACUGAGAGGUUGAACAGCCACAUUGGGACUGAGACACGGCCCAAACUCCUACGGGAGGCAGCAGUAGGGAAUUUUCGGCAAUGGAGGAAACUCUGACCGAGCAACGCCGCGUGAAUGACGAAGUACUUCGGUAUGUAAAGUUCUUUUAUCAAGGAAGAAAAGCAAAUGGCGAACCAUUUGUUUGCCGGUACUUGAUGAAUAAGCCCCGGCUAAUUAUGUGCCAGCAGCCGCGGUAAGACAUAAGGGGCAAGUGUUAUCCGGAAUUAUUGGGCGUAAAGGGUGCGUAGGCGGUCUAGUAAGUCAGUGGUGUAAUGGCAACGCUUAACGUUGUCCGGCUAUUGAAACUGCUAAACUUGAGUUAGAUAGAGGCGAGUGGAAUUCCAUGUGUAGCGGUAAAAUGCGUAAAUAUAUGGAGGAACACCAGAGGCGUAGGCGGCUCGCUGGGUCUUAACUGACGCUGAGGCACGAAAGCGUGGGGAGCAAACAGGAUUAGAUACCCUGGUAGUCCACGCCGUAAACGAUGAGUACUAAGUGUCGGGUUAAACCGGUACUGAAGUUAACACAUUAAGUACUCCGCCUGAGUAGUACGUACGCAAGUAUGAAACUUAAAGGAAUUGACGGGACUCCGCACAAGCGGUGGAUCAUGUUGUUUAAUUCGAAGAUACCCGAAAAACCUUACCAGGUCUUGACAUGUUUUUGCAAAAUGAUAGUAAUAUCGUGGAGGUUACCAGAAACACAGGUGGUGCAUGGUUGUCGUCAGCUCGUGUCGUGAGAUGUUAGGUUAAGUCCUAAAACGAGCGAAACCCUUAUCGUUAGUUGCCAGCACGUUAUGGUGGGGACUUUAACGAGACUGCCAAUGAUAAAUUGGAGGAAGGUGAGGAUCACGUCAAAUCAGCAUGCCCCUUAUGACCUGGGCUACAAACGUGAUACAAUGGCUGUUACAAAGGGUAGCUGAAACGCAAGUUCUUGGCCAAUCCCCAAAAACAGUCCCAGUCCGGAUUGAAGUCUGCAACUCGACUUCAUGAAGUUGGAAUCGCUAGUAAUCCGCGAAUCAGCAUGUCGCGGUGAAUACGUUCUCGGGGUUUGUACACACCGCCCGUCA
rnacentral:rRNA from 2 species